CCAGACGUAUCAAGAUGAUCUCGCAGGCUCAGCUCAUCUGGCUGUUAGUGCUCUGGAUCCAGGGCUCCAGCGGGCAGAUUGUGAUGACUCAGACUCCAGAAUCCCUGGCAGUGUCUCCAGGAGACAGAGUCACCAUCAACUGCAAAGCCAGUUCCAGCACAGGCAACCAUUUAACCUGGUACCAACAGAAAUCGGGACAAGCUCCUAAGCUUCUUAUUUAUCAUGGCUCUACCCUCGCCUCUGGAGUCCCAGCCCGGUUUAGUGGCAGUCAGUCUGGGAGCGGCUACACUGAUUACACUCUCACCAUCAGCAGUGCUGAAAUUGAAGAUGCAGGAGAUUACUAUUGUCAGCAGAGUUAUAGCUCCCCUCUCACAGUGAUACAGACUCAUACAAAAACCUCCCUGCCCUGUGUGGUUUCAGUUUCUCUCCUGUAA